GUGAGGAAUAUUGGUCAAUGGGCGAGAGCCUGAACCAGCCAAGUCGCGUGAAGGAUGACUGUCUUAUGGAUUGUAAACUUCUUUUAUACGGGAAUAACAAGAGUCACGUGUGGCUCCCUGCAUGUACCGUAUGAAUAAGCAUCGGCUAACUCCGUGCCAGCAGCCGCGGUAAUACGGAGGAUGCGAGCGUUAUCCGGAUUUAUUGGGUUUAAAGGGUGCGUAGGCGGCCUGUUAAGUCAGCGGUGAAAUCUAGGAGCUUAACUCCUAAAUUGCCAUUGAUACUGGCGGGCUUGAGUGUAGAUGAGGUAGGCGGAAUGCGUGGUGUAGCGGUGGAAUGCAUAGAUAUCACGCAGAACUCCGAUUGCGAAGGCAGCUUACUAAGGUACAACUGACGCUGAAGCACGAAAGCGUGGGUAUCAAACAGGAUUAGAUACCCUGGUAGUCCACGCAGUAAACGAUGAUAACUGGGCGUAUGCGAUAUACAGUAUGCUCCUAAGCGAAAGCGUUAAGUUAUCCACCUGGGGAGUACGCCGGCAACGGU
rnacentral:rRNA from 1 species